rnacentral:rRNA from 1 species
UACGGAGGAGGCAAGCGUUAUCCGGAAUCACUGGGCGUAAAGCGUCUGUAGGUGGUUUAUUAAGUCAACUGUUAAAUCUUGAGGCUCAACCUCAAAAUCGCAGUCGAAACUAUUAGGCUAGAGUAUAGUAGGGGUAAAGGGAAUUUCCAGUGGAGCGGUGAAAUGCGUAGAGAUUGGAAAGAACACCGAUGGCGAAGGCACUUUACUGGGCUAUUACUAACACUCAGAGACGAAAGCUAGGGUAGCAAAUGGG